UUCCUACGGGAGGCAGCAGUGGGGAAUAUUGGACAAUGGGCGCAAGCCUGAUCCAGCCAUGCCGCGUGAGUGAAGAAGGCCCUCGGGUUGUAAAGCUCUUUUGUUGGGAAAGAAAAGCAGCCGGUUAAUACCCGGUUGUUCUGACGGUACCCAAAGAAUAAGCACCGGCUAACUUCGUGCCAGCAGCCGCGGUAAUACGAAGGGUGCAAGCGUUACUCGGAAUUACUGGGCGUAAAGCGUGCGUAGGUGGUUCGUUAAGUCUGAUGUGAAAGCCCUGGGCUCAACCUGGGAAUUGCAUUGGAUACUGGCGGGCUAGAGUACGGUAGAGGGUGGCGGAAUUCCUGGUGUAGCAGUGAAAUGCGUAGAUAUCAGGAGGAACAUCCGUGGCGAAGGCGGCCACCUGGACCAGUACUGACACUGAGGCACGAAAGCGUGGGGAGCAAACAGGAUUAGAUACCCUGGUAGUCCACGCCCUAAACGAUGCGAACUGGAUGUUGGGUGCAACUAGGCACUCAGUAUCGAAGCUAACGCGUUAAGUUCGCCGCCUGGGGAGUACGGUCGCAAGACUGAAACUCAAAGGAAUUGACGGAA
rnacentral:rRNA from 1 species